rnacentral:lncRNA from 1 species
AUCAGAACAAUGUAAGAUAAAAUUAACAGAAUCCCAAGACUGUACAGUAUACGGUAUGUUUACUUGAGGCAGACAGAAUCAUUAUGGACCUUUUUUUCUCUCUUAAGACUGACAGUCCACAAAUUAAAAAGCUCAAUUCUACAUGAUGGUAAUGGCAGAAGAAUGCUUCAGAAUGCAUGCAGCCAUAGUUAGAUCAGGUUGAAUGCUUCCCCUUCUAGUCACACACACACACACACACAAUGAGCAUGGCUACAACACAGGAAGCUGACUAUAUAAUGGUGCCGGAGGGGAUGGCUGCCGUUUUAUGGCUGAAAUUUAUGGGCUCAAACUCAUUUUGUACAUAAUGUUGCUACUAACGUCUUUAACGAAAAUAGCUUCUGGACAUCAGAACAGCACAACUCACCUCGAACUGGACAAAGAUUUCUUCUUUAAUGAGUCCAACGCAAAGGAUAUACUGCUUCCCAGAGACCAGGCACAAAUCCCUGUCAUUCGUGUGAAGAAAAGAUGGAAAUACAGUGGGCGGAGGUCUGGGCGCAUUGUGAGAAUUCGUCGCCAAUGAUGGAAAAGGACACCUCCAUUUCUCUUAUGCUAUUACUG